rnacentral:rRNA from 1 species
CCCUUAGAUGUCCUGGGCCGCACGCGCGUUACACUGAUGCAUUCAACGAGCUUAUAACCUUGGCCGAGAGGCCUGGGCAAUCUUGUUAACGUGCAUCGUGAUAGGGAUAGAUUAUUGAAAUUAUUAAUCUUGAACGAGGAAUUCCUAGUAAACGCAGAUCAUCAAUCUGCAUUGAUUACGUCCCUGCCCUUUGUACACUCCGCCCGUCGCACCUACCGAUUGGAUGGUCCGGUGAAGCCUCGGGAUUGUGGUUCUUGCCGCUUUAUUGUGGCGUGACCGCGAGAACUUGUCUAAACCUUAUCAUCUAGAGGAAGGUGAAGUCGUAACA